UUAGGGCUGGACCACAUUGGUCCUCGGCACCCGUUUGCGAGGAUACCUUUCAAGACGCCAAGAUUGACUCCCUUGCUGGUAUCCCGAACGGCAUCCGUGAGUCUUCUGAGCGAUCACGAAGGAGCAGGAUAGAUUUGGGACCAAAAACCAGUUCCAGCAAACAUCCCUGAUUGAUACACGGAUCAAUAAGUUGCUUUCGGUGCGGCUAAUCCAGCUGUAUUUGGAAAGUCGGCGAUCCAGACCUUUCCGGAAUGGUCAAGGCAACUUUCAUAGGGAACCUUUGUUGGCGAAGCUGGAAACAGACUCGGUUUUGCGUGGAUUUCUUUGGAAAAGGCGGAGCAUCUCGCAGCAUGUUUUGUUUGUAUGAUAACAAGUUGUAUUCUGGAGCAACAUUAGAAAGGGACGGUACGAAAUUGCUCUUACAACCUUCUUCCCAUUUGAACACAUGAGAAGAAAUGCCGUAAGAGCAAUGUCGUACUGCCCCUUCAAAUGUUGCAUGUUUUUUUAUUUACAUUUUUUUAUUUAGUGUGUUUUCUUUUUUUCAGGUUUAAUCCAAGAACAACAAGAUCACCAGAUGAACUCUCGGUUAUCCGACGUUGCACGACUGUGCCGUUUUCCUUCAGAACAAUCUGCAGAACCGACUGCUGAAAUAACCUGGGACCCCACCAUCCGACCAAUGAUUUCCAAAGGAUGGUGGAGAUGGAGCUGAUCGUGCUGUACAGCUUCGGUCAACUCUCUACCGCAGUGGAUGCCUCCCUGAACUGUGUUUUUUCUUCUUCUGUAUAAGUUAAUUCUAAAAUUUGUUGUACUAUUUUCUCUUCAGUUUAAUUUGUUGCUGAUUUAGAAUCCCGCAAACUCUCCAUCAUGUUUGAAUUUAAAAUUCCCAUAUCAUUAGGCCAAUUCAGACAAAAAUAUAAUAUAUAUCAAAUAAAAUGAAAAAAAUAAAUAAGCUGUUUGACCAAAGCAAAAUUAAUGUUUUCUAGCUCAAAAUUCCGAAAAUCCUUGAAAAAAUGAUGUUUAUUCGAAUUGUUACAACUGUUCCCCAAAAUGUAAUGUGCCAUGAAAAAUCACUGAUAUAACUAUUUAAAACCCUAAAAAUACCAUUUGAGAAAUGGUGAAAUCCCUAAAAUAUAUACGCAAAAAUGAACUUUCAAAAAGCAUUUGACAAAGUGUCGCUAGAAGAAAAAAUCAAAUAGUGAAUAUUGCUAACAACAUAUAUGGGGAAUAGUUCACUAUUUGAGAGACGGUGAGGAAUUAAAAAAAUGAUUUACCGAAUAGUGGCUAUACAAUUUGGUAAAAUGUUGAUUGAAUAUUUAACAAAUGAUUUUCAAACGGUUUUUUUCUAUGCGGGAGUUUUUCAGAAA